AUUUGACAUUUACACUAGCAAGAAUAAUAUCUCUAAUAGUACUGGGGAGUUUGAAGACACAAAAUCUGUUAAUAUUUCCAUUUCAGUACACAAACUUGUCAUCAGCUGGGGGUAAAGAAAUCACACCACACUUAAUUAAACAAAUUAGGGAAAGGGUACAAGUGGAAAGAGAAAAGGGGAGGGGACAGGGAAUGAAUCAUUCUUCUUUUCCCUGAGCCCAUCCAUCACUUGUUGCAGUUAGCAACAAAAAAUCAAAUUAGUUGCACCAGUGGUCUGUUCAGACCUGACAAUUUCUGUAUUUCUAGUUUAAAUUAGAGUAGAAUCAAUGGGAGUUUUACAAAGAUAAGUUAAAGGCAAAGCUUACAAGGCACAGUGUUCAAUCUGCCUGGCAAGACAAGGUUUAGCCUUACAGGAGUCAUUAAGGUUAAUGCAAUCUAUACUGAUGUGACGGGGAGAUGCUCCAUUUUCAUUACACCAGAAAGCAGCUCUGAUUCACUGUGCUUAGAGCUAAUUGACAGUUUCCAAAUCACAUGGCAGUAAUUGUUUACAGUUGUAGGAAGGGAGUAUAUUGUUUUCACUGCUGGUUUACUUGAUACAUUUAUCCACUUAAUCCCUCACACUUAAUUUUCUUUGAGAGGUGGAAAUAAAAAAUAAUUUAAUUGUAGUAUCCUUUGACACUUUCUUUUCAGCUAGCAAACUGGUUUGCUUUUCAACCAGGAAUUCAGGUCAGGGGAAGAGCUUGAAUACAGCUGCCUCUUCCUUCUGAGAAUGAUCAGCCAGCUCACCCAGCCCUUUGAUUCAGCUUGUGCAAAUCAAAAGCAUCUUCAGAAAGCUGAAAGAUGCAUUCUGAGUGCCACAAGCUUUCUUACUAACAAAACCACAGUGCACACUCAGCCUCCUGCACAUCUGAGUCAUCUCCUCUACCUCCUCGUCCUGCUCUUCAGACCCUGCUUACAGCAGCCUCUGGUCUGCUGCCAUCACUGCUCUCCUGGAGGAUGUCUGCUGCCGCACUGCUGCGCUUUAAAGACUCUGUACACACAGAAGAACCCGUUCAGAGCAGCUCUUCAAGCAAGGACAGGUCAUUUUGCCUGGGAUGAGAGCAGACAUUUGGCUGAAUCACAACAUGCAGAGGACCUGUUGUGCCAAGAGGGGAGAAGGAAUUGUCACCUGUGGAUGUCAGUGAUUAUAAAUCAUGCCAAUGGCAGAGGGUCUCUGUCAGCUGAGAUCUUAAGCAAGACUCACAAUUCAGCAACAUUAAUUGGAAAAUUUGGAGAAACAGAGGAGAGGGCAAGCUGUCUUUUGAUUACCAAAACCAAACUCCUUAACUCCUCUUCUCCAAGGCAGAUCAAGAAAAGAAAAAAAUGUAUUAAAUAA
rnacentral:lncRNA from 1 species